AGGGUUGUAGCUCAGUGGUAGAGCACUUGCUUUGCAUACAUGAGGCCCUGGGUUUGAUCCUCAGCACCACAU
rfam:Ictidomys tridecemlineatus contig074922, whole genome shotgun sequence.